CAGUCGCCGCGGUAAUACGUAGGUGGCAAGCGUUGUCCGGAAUUAUUGGGCGUAAAGGGCUCGCAGGCGGUUUCUUAAGUCUGAUGUGAAAGCCCCCGGCUCAACCGGGGAGGGUCAUUGGAAACUGGGAAACUUGAGUGCAGAAGAGGAGAGUGGAAUUCCACGUGUAGCGGUGAAAUGCGUAGAGAUGUGGAGGAACACCAGUGGCGAAGGCGACUCUCUGGUCUGUAACUGACGCUGAGGAGCGAAAGCGUGGGGAGCGAACAGGAUUAGAUACCCCAGUAGUCCCUGUCUCUUAACA
rnacentral:rRNA from 1 species